rnacentral:misc_RNA from 1 species
GAUGAAGAACGUAGCGAAAUGCGAUAAGUAAUGUGAAUUGCAGAAUUCAGUGAAUCAUCGAAUCUUUGAACGCACAUUGCGCCCCCCAGUAUUCUGGCGGGCAUGCCUGUUCGAGCGUCAUUUCAACCAUCAAGCCCUGCUUGUGUUGGGGUCCUGCGGCUGCCCGCAGGCCCUGAAAACCAGUGGCGGGCUCGCUAGUCACACCGAGCGCAGUAGCACAUCUCGCUCAGGGCGUGCGGCGGGCUACAGCCGUUAAAGCACCCACCUUUCGCAAGGUUGACCUCGGAUCAGGUAGGAAUACCCGCUGAACUUAAGCAUAUCAAUAAGCGGAGGA